ACUUUUUAAAAAACCUGAACAUAUUUGGAGAGAAAGCUCCUCCCAAGCGAGUGCAAGAACUUAUUGAAAUCAUUGAAGGCCAAGCUGAUUUGGAUGCACAAUUCAAUGUGAGUAUUUUCUUUAUUAGGUAUUGUUUACUAUAGUAUUUGUCUCUCUCUCUUUUUUGUGCUUUCACAAGGAAAUUAAGUUUUUACCUUGUAUAGUCAGCACGAAGAUUACAUUAUGUUGCUGAUAUUGGAAGAAGCCAAUCCAUCUUUACAAUUUGUAAUCCAAGAUUUCAAAACCCGCAUCAUUCUCACGAGUAAACCAUAGAGCCCAACAACUAGCUUUCCCGAAUUUGCGUCCACAAGUGGAGAUGGGCCAUUUUAUAGACUUGAUUGUGUCUAGUAAUUGAAGUGGUAGGAAUAGGUGCUUUCCUAUUUAAGAAACCCACCCUUGACUUAAUGUGCUUUUAAUUUCUGGAUGGCUAUUGGAUGUGUUCUUUUUCUCUGAUAGAUUUUAUUAAUGACAAAUCACUCCAUGUAGGACCACAACAUCUCAUCUUCAACACCCUAAAAGACUUCAUGUUACGACAUUUUUUUGUUGCUCAGCAAUAUAAGAUUUUCAAUGGGACAAAUCCAAUGUUAGGAUUGUCUCUUGUUGGACGUCAGUGGAAGUAUAGUUGUCAAUUGCGUGUGAACAGUUCUCACUCCUUGGUCCUGAUUUUCCAUGGCUGUGUUUCAAUUCUAGUUUAUCAAUUGGCUUGUGAUCAGUAUUUUUUAUUUUUAUUUAAAUUUUGCUAAGUGAUGGAAUUUUAGAUUUCGUGGUAGAAUAGAAAUAUUUACGUGCAGGAGAAGUGUGCAUGGGCUUAUGAGUCUUGCCAUAUAGAGUGUACUUGGUUUCCAUGAGUAAGUCAAAGAAUAAAGAGCACCCACUGCAGCCUUUAUUCUUUUGUUUCACUGUGGUUAUCACCCCCUGGCUUAACUUGGUUCCCAGCAAUUAUACGUGAAUUAGUAAGUGAUGGUUCCCAGCAAUUGAGUUCUAAGUACCCCACAGAGAAUUUGGUGAGAUUUCUGAAAGCAAGGGAUAGGAAUGUCUCCAAUGCGUAUAAAAUGGUACGACACAUUCUAAGAAAAUCCCAAAGAGUAUCUGACUUGAAUCAAGUUUAUGGAUUUCAAGUAUUCUUACCAUCAUACUUCAUGUUUCAGCUGAUUGAUUUCUCGAACUGGAGGAUACAAAAUGAAAUUGAUAACAUAUUGGCUGUGAGUUUUCAUGUUCUCUUUAAGUACAAGCAUCAUCAAUCUAUGGGCCAAUUUUAGUCUUGACCAAUGCAUUCAUAAAAAUCUCUUACAUAUUUUACGCCUUCAGCCAGUUUAUGUUUUGUCCAGCCUUUAAUUUAUUUCAAUGGAUAACUAAAUUUCUAUUGUAUUAUCUGAACUCAGAUUCAUACUCGAUCUGAGUUUUCUAAGGACAAGCUUUUCUGUGGCGAUCAUGAAGGUUGAAUUUACCCAUUGCAUUCAAAAGAUAGGUGCAAGUCAAAAAGAAAGUAACGGGAAGGAUUUUUUAGAACUAGCCAACCCAACAAUUUGAAGGCAACAAGUUGUAAAUUAUCUUCUUUUAUACAAUAAUUUUCUGUUGUUUAAGAGGAGUGUAAGAUGAUGUUUAUUUGAUGGGCAAUAUGUAAAUCAAAAUUUCUCCUCGAUUUAUUACAAUGAUGUGUUUUGACUAUUUGGUGUGAAUUAAUAAAAUUAUAUCAAUUGAAAGCCCAA
rnacentral:lncRNA from 1 species